UGUUGUCAACGGCUGCCGAUGGCGUCUACGCUUUGCUGAGCAGUUGUGCGCUGCGUCCGUGGCUGUACUGAGGCGAUUCGUUAGGACUAUUGCUUGUUGUGUCGAGCGUGUAGUUUAAGACUUAAUGAGCCCAGUGAUUCGGGCCGCCAUCAUCACUUUUUUCACUAAUUCAUUUUUUUCAGAACAACAAAAAUUUUAAUCUCAUCGGUGGAUCACUCGGCUCGCAGUUCGAUGAAGAACGCAGCUAAAUGCGAUAACUAGUGUGAACCGCAGGAUUAUUGAACACUAAACAUUCGAAUGCACAUUGCGCAGUAGGAGUCACAUCCUUCUGCAUGCCUUGUUCAGGGUCGUAAACCAAAAGCGCAACAAGAGUCUGUUUAAUUGACGAGUUUGUGUGCUUGCCACUCCUCGUGUCAAUUACUAGCGCAAAUGUCAAUCAAAGACGCAUGCGUUGUUGCUGAGCCUUAAAUUCGUUGUUUAUUCAACCGGCUCAGUCACCGCUGCAGCUUUAUUGCAAUUGCUUACAGA
rnacentral:rRNA from 1 species